GACGAACGCUGGCGGCGUGCUUAACACAUGCAAGUCGAACGGAAAGGCCCUGCUUUUGUGGGGUGCUCGAGUGGCGAACGGGCGAGUAACACGUGAGUAACCUGCCCUUGACUUUGGGAUAACUUCAGGAAACUGGGGCUAAUACCGGAUAGGAGCUCCUGCUGCAUGGUGGGGGUUGGAAAGUUUCGGCGGUUGGGGAUGGACUCGCGGCUUAUCAGCUUGUUGGUGGGGUAGUGGCUUACCAAGGCUUUGACGGGUAGCCGGCCUGAGAGGGUGACCGGCCACAUUGGGACUGAGAGACGGCCCAGACGCCUACGGGAGGCAGCAGUGGGGAAUAUUGCACAAUGGGCGGAAGCCUGAUGCAGCAACGCCGCGUGCGGGAUGACGGCCUUCGGGUUGUAAACCGCUUUCGCCUGUGACGAAGCGUGAGUGACGGUAAUGGGUAAAGAAGCACCGGCUAACUACGUG
rnacentral:rRNA from 1 species